GACGAACCGAGCGAACGUUAUUCGGAAUCACUGGGCUUAAAGGGCGCGUAGGCGGGCCAUCAAGUCAGGGGUGAAAGCCCCCAGCUCAACUGGGGAAGUGCCUCUGAUACUGGUGGCCUCGAGGGAGGUAGGGGCGUGCGGAACUUCCGGUGGAGCGGUGAAAUGCGUAGAUAUCAGGAGGAACACCGGUGGCGAAGGCGGGUCUCUGGGCAGUAACUGACGCUGAGGAGCGAAAGCGUGGGGAGCGAACAGG
rnacentral:rRNA from 1 species